ensembl:lncRNA
GCAAAAGAUGCAUAGGCAGUGUUCUUCUUGGAUGUGUCAUUUGUCGGAAGCUGCGAGGCAGAACUGAAAGGCAGAAGAUGUCGCAUUUGCCAGAGCAACGACUUAGUACUUCUCCCCCCUUUACUUACACGGGUCUGGAUGUCUUUGGGCCUUGGAAUGUAGUUGCAAGGCGCACAAGAGGAGGACUGGCCUACAUUAAGCGCUGGGCGGUGUUAUUAACUUGUCUAAGUACUCGUGCCAUUGACAUUGAAGUGAUUGAGUCCAUGGAUGCUUCAUCCUUCAUUAACUGUCUCCGAAGAUUCUGUGCUAUCCGGGGCCCAUGUAAACAAUUGCAUUCUGACUGUGGGACUAAUUUUGUUGGCGCCUGCAACAAACUCGAGUACCACAAAACAGUAAAAGACUCAAAAGUACAGAGAUAUGUGAACAAUUAUGGUUGUACAUGGGAGUUCAACCUUCCACACUCCUCACAUGUAGGGGGCACAUGGGAGCGCAUGAUUGGAGUUACAAGGAGGAUCUUAGACUCUAUGCUAAUGCGCACAGAUUGUUCCCAUCUCACUCACAAAGUACUGUGCACUUUAAUGGCAGAAGUAAUGGCUAUUAUUAACUCCAGGCCUAUAGUUCCUGUCUCUUCAGAUGCCAACUCACCUGAAAUACUUUGCCCGGCUAUGCUCCUUACUCAAAAGGCAAGCGCACCACCUCCACCUGGGAAGUUUACAGAGAAGGAUCAAGCAGCAAUGGCAGCAAGUCCAGCACCUAGCAGACCAUUUCUUGAGGCGCUGGAAAACAGAGUAUCUACACACACUCCAAGCUCGUCAGAAAUGGUUGAAGUCAUGUCCUAACAUUGAGAAGGGCGAUGUUGUCCUACUGAAGGAUAAUGAGGCAGCCCGCAAUGACUGGCCUAUGGCACUUGUUACAGACACUUUUCCCAGCAGUGAUGGAAAAGUUCGCAAAGUGGAGCUCAAGGUCACCAAAUAAGGAUCAGAAAAAAGGUUCCUCAGGCCUGUCUCUGAGGUCAUUCUUCUCAUGAAAAAGUAAUGUUAUAAGAAAAUAUAUCUCUUUAUAGUUACAGACUAAUUUGUGGCAUCUUAAAGAUACCAGGCGGGGAGUGUUCUGCCUUGAAUUUAGUGCCCCCUACUGGGCCUUGUAAAUUGUUGUUAAUGUGACAGUCAGCUAUGUUAGUUGGGGUAAACAGGUUCACAUGUGCUGAAGUGUUCCUGUAGUUAUCCGCUGCAAUCCUCUUUCUUGUUUAUGCCUUCGAAAGCAUCAUCUGUAAGUACUUGUUGACUUAAGAGUAUAGAGUAGUGAUGUGACGUUCUGUAUCGAGGCUUCGAAGCUUGUGUCGAGUAAUUGAGGGAGCGUUUCCGCGAUGCACGUAUCGAGGCUUGCUUCAUUUAUGGGAGGAGCUGAAAAUGAUGACGUCCGAAGCCUCGCUGCCCGGCUGUACCACGUCACUGGUUCAUGAAGUGGUUCAAACUUUGCCGCAAGCUAUGAUAGAGAUAUAAACCCCUCAGACUUCAUUCAAAAUGUGGGUGUUUGAUGGAGAGUUGCGGUUAGUGAGAGUUUGGAGACAGUUUGGAGGUUUAUGAGAGUGAGGAGAGAAAGUCAGGAGAGAAUGGAGCCGGCUAAGAAGAGGAGGAUGUCCUCCCCUGUGUGGGAACAUUUUGAUCUUAUUCCUCCCAACAAGGUAUGUAAAUUUCUACAGAAGAUGGUUUUUCAUAAUACUGAUGGUGCAAUACAAUUUAUGUUAAGCUGUCUUUACUUUUGUACAAGGUGAAGUGUUUGCUAUGUGCCAGGGAGCUGGGAUAUAACAACAAGACCUCAUCCAUGCUUAGGCACUACAGAGCUUUGCAUGAGAAUAAGGGGAACACCGAUUGUGGAGCAAGACCAGGAGAACAAUCUCAAAUAGAUGAAGACCUGGUUAGCAUGGUGAUUGAGGACUCCCAGCCAUUUAGCAUUGUGGAGGACAAAGGAUUUAAAAGAUUUGUUAAAUCAUUAAAUCCUAGCUAUGUUCUCCCCACUAAAAAGGUCAUAAAAGCAGUGGAAAUUUAGUUUUUACAGAAUAAAAUGUGAACAGGCAGGACUGAGGCUCAAAG